AAUAUUGCACAAUGGGCGAAAGCCUGAUGCAGCAACGCCGCGUGAAUGAUGAAGGCCUUCGGGUCGUAAACUUCUUUGAUUGGGGACGAAGGAAGUGACGGUACCCAAAAAACAAGCCACGGCUAACUACGUGCCAGCAGCCGCGGUAAUACGUAGGUGGCGAGCGUUGUCCGGAAUUACUGGGUGUAAAGGGCGUGUAGGCGGGGAAGCAAGUCAGAUGUGAAAUUCCGGGGCUCAACCUCGGCGUUGCAUCUGAAACUGUUUUUCUUGAGUGCUGGAGAGGAAAGCGGAAUUCCUAGUGUAGCGGUGAAAUGCGUAGAUAUUAGGAGGAACACCAGUGGCGAAGGCGGCUUUCUGGACAGUAACUGACGCUGAGGCGCGAAAGCGUGGGGAGCAAACAGG
rnacentral:rRNA from 1 species